CCUCGGGGGCAGCAGUGGGGAAUAUUGGACAAUGGGCGAAAGCCUGAUCCAGCCAUGCCGCGUGUGUGAAGAAGGCCUUCGGGUUGUAAAGCACUUUCAGUGGGGAAGAAAGCCUUGGGGCUAAUACCCUCGAGGAAGGACAUCACCCACAGAAGAAGCACCGGCUAACUCCGUGCCAGCAGCCGCGGUAAUACGGAGGGUGCGAGCGUUAAUCGGAAUUACUGGGCGUAAAGCGCGCGUAGGCGGUCUGAUAAGCCGGUUGUGAAAGCCCCGGGCUCAACCUGGGAACGGCAUCCGGAACUGUCAGGCUAGAGUGCAGGAGAGGAAGGUAGAAUUCCCGGUGUAGCGGUGAAAUGCGUAGAGAUCGGGAGGAAUACCAGUGGCGAAGGCGGCCUUCUGGACUGACACUGACGCUGAGGUGCGAAAGCGUGGGUAGCAAACAGGAUUAGAUACCCCGGUAGUC
rnacentral:rRNA from 1 species